AUAUUCCUGAAUAAAAAAAAAAAUAAUAUAUUAUCAUGUGCUCCUGUUAACAUUUCAUAAAAUCCAAGUUAAAAUGGCAUUUCUGGCUGUUUUAUAUUAUGUGUUUCUGUUAACGAUUACUCAAAAUCCCAGCUAAAAUGAAGUGUUUCUGGCCGUUGCAACAGGAACUUGAAAAUAUUUCUGCGGCUGAUAUCGUGAGAGCGUGGCAAAAUCAAUAAAGGAAUGAGACAGAUCCCUGGCACAAUCUUAUGGCACUGACUUAUCUCCAAGAUGUUUUUAAGAGAGAGAGAAUCAAAGGUAUGUACAUACUUUUAAUUGAUAUAAAUUCGAGAUAAAAGACAUUCUUCGCACAUGUAUCUCUUAUUCUUUGUUCUUUAUUUCUCUAAUCUCUCGUUUAAUCUCAUUGUUAUAUUAAAACUAUCUUUCCAAUCAAUAAUUCUUUGAAAAAAUAAUUAGAAUAGAAUUCACUUAAUAAUCUGCUCAUAAUCGGACACUGAGCAAAGUGCAAAAUGUAGAAAAUAUACGACGAUCUUCAUCAUAAACAUCAUUUUAUUUUGCCUAUGUACAGAAACGAAAUUCCCUUAUCGCACUUAGAUAAUGAUUUAAUGAUAGUAUUUAUAUAAUCGUGUUGAACUUAUGUACAUUUUCACGCGCGGCAUUUGUACCCUGACUGAAAAUGAUACGAGGAGGAAUCGUAGAGCCGCGCCGAGGAGACGCCCAUGCCCCGAACGCGAAUUAUAAAAUAAAAAGGAAAGUCUCUUACUUACUCUCGCAAAAGUUACAAAAGAGCUCGCGGUAGGUAGGUAGGUAGGUAGGUAAAUAUUGUAAAUGUAAGAACACAUGGUACUUUCGUCGAACAUGAGGGAUCGAGUUUAAGGAUCGUCCCUUGCGCUCUACUCUUCAGCUUCGGUGCCAAAUCAAAAAUUCUAUAAACAAGUAUGCUUCUUCGUCGUCCAACGCAAAUUUUAUUUCAAACCUUGAAUCACAUUGAGGCUGAAUUGCAUCGACAAUCCGAGCUAACUGAUCCUUAUAUCUAGAAUAGCGUCUUUCAAACAAUAUUUUAUAAAGGAAUCACAUUUUGCAAAAAUUAAAUUUAAAAUUAAAUAAAAUUUUGGUUCAAAAAUUAAAUUUUUCAGGAAUCUAUAUUCUUUAGUUACUUAAUAUUUGUAUAAAUUUGCUUUUACCAUUUUACAAUGUUCUAUUGUUAAAAAAAAA